GGGGUUGUGGCUCAGUGGUAGAGUACUUGCCUAGCAUGUAUGAGGCACUGGGUUUGAUCCUCAGCACCACA
rnacentral:tRNA from 1 species